GGUUCCGUAGUUCAAUGGAUAGAAUGCAAGAUUCCGGUUCUUGUGAUGAAGGUUCGAAUCCUUUCGGGACUA
rnacentral:tRNA from 2 species